UGCCAUGGUGUCACGGGAAGCUGCAGUA
rnacentral:piRNA from 1 species